UCUAAACAACUCAUCAACCCUGUGAACAUACCUAAAACGUUGCUUCGGCGGGAAUAGACGGCCCCGUAACACGGGCCGCCCCCGCCAGAGGACCCCUAACUCUGUUUCUAUAAUGUUUUUUUUCUGAGUAAACAAGCAAAUAAAUUAAAACUUUCAACAACGGAUCUCUUGGCUCUGGCAUCGAUGAAGAACGCAGCGAAAUGCGAUAAGUAAUGUGAAUUGCAGAAUUCAGUGAAUCAUCGAAUCUUUGAACGCACAUUGCGCCCGCCAGUAUUCUGGCGGGCAUGCCUGUUCGAGCGUCAUUACAACCCUCAGGCCCCCGGGCCUGGCGUUGGGGAUCGGCGAGGCGCCCCCUGUGGGCACACGCCGUCCUCUAAAUACAGUGGCGGUCCCGCCGCAGCUUCCAUUGCGUAGUAGCUAACACCUCGCAACUGGAGAGCGGCGCGGCCAUGCCGUAAAACACCCAACUUCUGAAUGUUGACCUCGAAUCAGGUAGGAAUACCCGCUGAACUUAAGCAUAUCAAUAAGCCGGGAGGAA
rnacentral:rRNA from 1 species